GGAGCUCGAGAGUGAUUCAAUGAAAAGGUGUACGUUUGUUGUACUAGCUGCGACUUAGACAAGAAAAAAAGGACUGCACCGUGGUACUUAUAAUAUUAUUCGUUUUGGAUAUUCAUUCUUUGCCGGACCGGAACAACACGUCCUGGUUAGUUCGAUGGAAACCCGCUCGACUAUAUCUGUUUCAGCGAGGCCUUAGGUUUAAUUAUCGAGGACAUUCAACACGCAUUAAUUUUGGUCAUUGAAUAAUGGAUUUACAAGGCUCACCUCGGCUAACCCUGAUCUACCAUACCGGAUCCGCCUUUCUACUAAGUUGCCUCCUUUUGCCAGGCGUUCUCGGAUCCCUACUAGUCGCGGAUCCUGACCGUGGUCUGCCAUUACUUCUGUUAGCUCUUACUGCCGUCCAAGGUGUAACUCUUUGGUGGUUCAAUAACAACGUCGCGUCCAAUUUUAAUCCCAAACAAGUUUCGACGGAAACCUAUAGCCGCUGUGCAACAUUGUUCCUUUUGUCAAUAUUUGCGUUGCACGCCGCUUUGGUGCUUUUCGGCGCUCCUCUACUUGAAGACCUCCUUGAAACGUUCUACUUGGCUUGUGUCGUAGCGUUGCUUGCGUCACUGCCCAUUGCUGUGUGUACCGAGUGUACUGCGUUUGAAAUCGACAGGCUUUUCUUCCGAAGACGACCAGACAACGUAUGUGAACGUUCACUCCUUUACGUAGUAUCCUGUACCUUAAUGGGAUGUUGGUUAGGCGCGCUGCCAAUUCCAUUAGACUG